GACGAACCGUGCGAACGUUAUUCGGAAUCACUGGGCUUAAAGCGCGUGUAGGCGGGCCGGCGCGUCGGCUGCUGAAAUCCCCCGGCUCAACCGGGGAAGGGGCACCGAUACGGCCGGCCUGGAGGGGGGUAGGGGGGACGGGAACUUCCGGUGGAGCGGUGAAAUGCGUUGAGAUCGGAAGGAACGCCCGCGGCGAAAGCGCGUCCCUGGACCCCGCCUGACGCUGAGACGCGAAAGCCAGGGGAGCGAGCGGG
rnacentral:rRNA from 1 species